rnacentral:lncRNA from 1 species
AAAUCAUCUUUUUCAAGUCUCCGUACUGAAAUCAAAUUCCUAAACAAUUCAGGAAUAUAUCAAACGUCCUUUAACGUGUACACGAAGCUCGUGUCAAAUUUUAUAUUUAUGUCACUAUUUCAGCAAUCGUAUAGACAAAGUUAUCACAUAGCACAACAUGCCCAGCAUUAGAUUCAUGCAAGUUAUCAAACCAAUUCUUUUUAGAUGUCACAUGAAAAAAUACACCAGAAUCAAGUAUGCACUCAUGCAUGCGGGAAUUAGCAGUUAGAUUCAAUUCAUCAAUGUAUGCAACGGGACUUGUAAUCAUAUAGAUCUCACCGUUAUCUAUAUUGGAAGUAGAGGAUAACACAUUGAUCUCAUCUCUCUCCUUGACCUUUAGCUUACCCAUCUCCUUAUGACAAUCCUUUAUAAAAUGCCCCGUGUUUCAACAGUCAUAGCAUUUUCUAGCUUUAGUCCUAGAUUUUGAUCUAGAUCUACCCUUGCCCUUCUUCUUCCAUCCAUUACUACUCGACUCGCCACCACUUUGGCAUUCAUCAUGACUGUUUUGCCUAAACUAAGUUCUACCUUAUAUUAUAUGUAACUCACCACUUCUUUUAUCAUGUUUUUCAGCCCUAAUAUCAAUUUCUUUACUCCUAAGAGAAUCUAUGACAAUUUCAGGUGUCAAUGUAUUCCUACCAUACUUAAUAACAUUUUUAACUUCCUUAUAAGAGUUGGGAAUAGAAUUGAGCAAGAUUAUGGCCUUAUAGGUUUUGAACACAGCCUCAUCACAAUUAACGAUAUCUUGCACUAGUUUGUUAAACACGUCUAAAUUGUCAUCGAGAUUUUUUGAAGGAUUCAUUUUAAAACUGAAAAAGUUUUCUAGUAGGUAAAGUUUAUUCGGUGUAGAUUUGAGCAAUUACAGGUCUUCCAAUUUUUUCCAAAAUUCUUUGGUGGUUUUCAGUUUACUCACCAUUCUUAAAAUAGCGUCAGAUUAGUGUAAAAUGAUUGAGUUAUAAGCAAGCUCAUCGGUUUCUUUCUUUUGUUUUUUUUUUUUUUAAAUCAGUUGAAAAAUUGCCUUCAAUAGCUUUUGAAAUUUUUUGUUGGACUAAAAUACCCUUCAUUUUUUGUUGUUAGAUUGAAAAAUCACCUUUUUCGUUAAAAUCCCCAAAUCAAAAUUGUAAGUUGUCAUUUUCACAGAAUAGCUAAAAAAUACGUAAACACAAUCAAAUCAUACAAAGUAGUCCUAG